AGAGUUUGAUCCUGGCUCAGAACGAACGCUGGCGGCAGGCCUAACACAUGCAAGUCGAACGCCCUAGCAAUAGGGAGUGGCAGACGGGUGAGUAACACGUGGGAACCUUCCCUAUAGUACGGAAUAGCUCAGGGAAACUUGAAGUAAUACCGUAUACGCCCGAGAGGGGAAAGAUUUAUCGCUAUAGGAUGGGCCCGCGUCGGAUUAGCUAGUUGGUGAGGUAAUGGCUCACCAAGGCGACGAUCCGUAGCUGGUUUGAGAGAACGACCAGCCACACUGGGACUGAGACACGGCCCAGACUCCUACGGGAGGCAGCAGUGGGGAAUAUUGGACAAUGGGCGCAAGCCUGAUCCAGCCAUGCCGCGUGAGUGAUGAAGGCCUUAGGGUUGUAAAGCUCUUUUAGCAGGGAAGAUAAUGACUGUACCUGCAGAAUAAGCUCCGGCUAACUUCGUG
rnacentral:rRNA from 1 species